CAAUAGCGUAUAUUAAAGUUGUUGCAGUUAGAACGCUCGUAGUCGGAUUUCGGGGCGGGCCGACCGGUCUGCCGAUGGGUACGCACUGGUCGGCGCGUCCUUCCUUCCGGAGACCGUGCCUACUCUUAACUGAGCGGGGGCGGGAGACGGAUCGUUUACUUUGAAAAAAUCAGAGUGUUUCAAGCAGGCAGCUCGCUCUUGCAUGGAUUAGCAUGGGAUAAUGAAAUAGGACUUUGGUGCUAUUUUGUUGGUUUCGAACACCGAAGUAAUGAUUAACAGGGACAGUCAGGGGCACUCGUAUUCCGCCGAGAGAGGUGAAAUUCUCAGACCAGCGGGAGACGAACUACUGCGAAAGCAUUUGCCAGGGAUGUUUUCACUGA
rnacentral:rRNA from 1 species